CGUCGGCAGCGUCAGAUGUGUAUAAGAGCCAGGUGAGUCAUCGAAUCUUUGAACGCAAAUUGCGCCCUUUGGUAUUCCGAAGGGCAUGCCUGUUUGAGUGUCUUAUAAACCUCACCUCUAUUGUUUCAUUACAUAUAGACUGGUGCUUUGGGUGUCUGCCGUUUACUCUGGCUCGCCUUAAAUAUCUAAGUGGAAUGCGUAAUAAGUCUUCGCAACCCUCCACUCUAACACACUUUUAUAUUCUGACCUCAAAUCAGGUAGGACUACCCGCUGAACUUAAGCAUAUCAAUAAGCGGAGGA
rnacentral:misc_RNA from 1 species